rnacentral:lncRNA from 1 species
GGGUACCAUUGCUAGAUGAUCACUUUGAUUGGUAUAAAAAUUUAUUUCUGUACUAUUGACUUAGGUUCAAACCUAUGAGGUCACACACAUUAGAUUUCACGAUCCGAUCGGAUGGUUGAUCAACGAUUAAGAAUCAUUCUAGGGUUAAACGAUCAAUACGAUUGACAUUUAACCUAGUGCAAGUGUUGCAGGAGGAUCGAUUAGUAAUUUAAUUGCUAAUUGACUUAAUUUGAUUAAUUCAAUGAGCUGAGAUUAAGUCUAAUCGAAUAUGAUUUAAUUAGA